rnacentral:rRNA from 1 species
AAUGGAGAGUUUGAUCCUGGCUCAGGACGAACGCUGGCGGCGCGCCUAACACAUGCAAGUCGAGGGAGAAGCACCCUUCGGGGUGUGGAGACCGGCGAACGGGUGAGUAACACGUGAGGAACCUGCC